ensembl:lncRNA
CUUCUAGAGUGAAAUUAUAAAUAAACAAUGGUGUAUUCAAAUAAAACAGCACUUCCCUACAGAGGGCUCAUAGGAAGCAAAAAGGAAGCAGAGAGUCAAAUCUUUGUUCUUUUGUGUGCAGGAAAGUGCUCAGCACUGAAGGGGCGCAGAUCUGGCGGCAGGAAGAUGCCUAUUGCUGAGCGAUGGAUGGCUGGGACCUCAGCCAUGGCCAUGGCCGCUUUUUGCUGUUUGUUGGCAUGGAGACCAGCUCUCCUACUGGCAGACCCCGUAUGCUAAUGGACUCUUGGAAAUGUAAUGAAUAUGUAUACGAAUUCUGGGUAAAUCAUUGAUUAUGUAUUAGUUCUGCCUAUAUCUGUACCAAGCUUUUGUCCUACAGUGUGCAAGUCAGGAGGAGUGAUCCCCCUUGCACCCAGCACUCGCGCAUCGCUGAAUAAAUGCAUACCUGCUUUAUAACCUAACUCUGGGUUAUAGAGUUUGACUCCACAAGUCAGAGGUGUUGACUCAAGACCAAAAUACAGCCUGUAUCUUACCAUGGAGGGCAGAACUACCCCUCCUUGUACCUAUUAAACAUCUGUUUUACUCCCCUUGAGGUUAUAAGUUCACAGGACAGCCGGCAGGAGCAACAUCACUCCAGGUUGCUUCGGUGUCCAUGAGGAAACAUCAUGACACCCUGUGGUGCACAGCUGAACUUUUGGGAACUGGCGAGCAUGUAUCAGAACUGCUACUGGUCCUUGAAGAAGGUAUGCCUCAAGAAAGAACAUCAAGUGCUGGCCCAACAGAACCGCAGAAAAGACUGCCAAUAAUUGCCUUUAUUGUCUUAACAUUCUACACUGCGGUGGGUAUUGUACAUGUGUCACAAUGUGCAUUGUAUUUUCCAAUUUCCAGCCACGAAACUGCAGGAGCUCACCCCCUACCUGCUCAGUCAUUGGUUCAUACUGUGAAGGGGUGGAGUGUAGUGGAAUUUCAAGGUCACAGCCUGAACCAAUACAUGAGCAUGUGACUGCCUGGAGUGGGGGAGGACGGGCUAGCGCUAUGUUUUUUGUCUCAGUGAUGCUUCUGGGAGCAUGUGUGCAAUCUGAGCCUGCGCGGGUUCCCCUUCCCCCACCCUUCUCUCUUGUGGCGCGAGUAUGAAUGGGAGAAAGCUGCAUUCCUCAGCUCGCCCCUUUCUCCAGACUGUUACUGGGAGGGGCGUCAUGGUUUUAUGAUUCUUGUUUAUUGGUAUUCCACAUCAUAACAUCAUGUAGUGCACUGUGAGUUAAAGAGUUAAUGCUCCAGUUCUGGGCACCUGUCUGCUAGAGAAGAGCUACAUUGCUGCAGAGCUGAUUGCUGUUUAGACCAGCUUCAGGGCAGUUCUGUCUUGUAGCAUCAUCCAUCACAAAGACCUGUCAAGGCAACAGCCUGGAGGCACUUCACAGCAACCCUCAGGGUUCCCUACACUGUGUCUACCCAGUCAUCCUAACUACCUGAAGACUGACAGUAGUGUGCUGAGAGCUAAGAGAAGAAAUUCAGGUCACAUCUAAUCGUGGAGAGAUAGUAUUAGUCCUGUACAACACACAGAACUAAGUUAUAUUCAGUGCUGGCAGUUCAUAGAAUCAUAGAAUGGCCUGGGUUGAAAAGGACCACAAUGAUCAUCGAGUUUCAACCCCCCUGCUAUGUGCAGGGUCGCCAACCAGCAGACCAGGCUGCCCAGAGCCACAUCCAGCCUGGCCUUGAAUGCCUCCAGGGAUGGGGCACCCACAGCCUCCUUGGGCAACCUGUUCCAGUGCAUCACCACCCUCUGGGUAAAAAACUUCCUCCUAAAGUUCUAAUAUCCAGACCUCCUUUCAAGCAAUAAAAAGCCUUUUGGAUUUGUUGGUUUCCAAUAAAAAAUACGAAUUUCUUAUUUUUAUUUUAUACUUUUUUUUUUUUUUUAAUUAUUAGAGCCUUACUAGAUUUCCCACUACAAGGCAAAUAUUCUGAUUGGUACAGUUUACACGAGGAGUGAAGCAAAAGAUGACUCAGUCAUCAUAUGUAAAUGACUCCAUGGAGGACAAGUAAAUUACUUUAUUAGGUGGACACUUUCCCAUGCAACUUACUCUAGUGAACCUGCUUUAGCAGGAGGUUGGGCUAAGCGACCUCCAGAGGUCCCUUCCAAACCCUGUGAUUCUGUGAUCUCCCUAGGCUAGGUCAAAGUAGAAAACAUGAGGUUGUAGCCAAGCAAAUCUAGACUAACUGCAAAGCCUUCCUAACUUUUAAUGAUGCUUACUGACCACAGCAAAGUGUUAAAACACAGAGACUUCAGUUAUUAAAGAGUUAGAUUUCUUAGUUCUUGUUUGUAAGAUAUCACAUCAUAACUCAGAAUUAAGUGUAUUCAAGAAUUAUGUAACUGGCAAAGUUACUUUACCUCUGUUUUGAACAUCCAGUUACAUGAUCAUUGUCAGUUUCCUCAGCUUCUGAACAUGCUCUUAUGACAAAGUGUAUCAAUUCAUAUCUCAUAUGUAUCAGUGUUAUAUUGGCUCUAAUGCAGUAAACAAAUCAUCCUGCAUGCAUAAAUUAAUAUGCUCCUACCUUCAAAUUUCAUAUAAACAACAGGACUUUGAUGCCCUAUAAGCCCUGGAAAGUUCAUAUAUUUGAAAACGUUAAUCUCACAGGAAGUUUGUGUUGUAACUUUUUGAUGCUAACCACUGGCAAACACAGCUUCUGAAGAUGCAAAAACAAAAAUGUAGAAUAAAAUAAUAAUACAAAAUCAUAGCAGGGUUUUAGACAAAGGCUGGGAAAGGAGGGGCAGAAUGAAAUUGGUGAAUCAGCUCUAGAAAGCUUAGCUCUAAUCUCACUUGGGGUCAUCUCUGCAGGGAAAUAUACUGGCAUUGCUCUCAGUAUAAUUAUGCUGCUGCAGUUAUACUAUUAUAAAUUAUUAUGUUUCUGAAGCAGUGCAUCAGGAGUAAUUCCAUCGAAGCCAACAAAAUAAGGAAUAAUCAAUUCACCAUACAAUGUAGUCUCCGGACACUCUCUUUUUCUAGGAAAAAUAAUGGAAAUAAAUAUAAGAUGGACAUAAAUCCAGUAUUAAUAAGCCAGAAUGAGUAAUACAAUUAUCUGCUUAUGUUUAAAGCGGUCUGUUUUGAAAAGAGAAAGGAAAUCCUCCAUAAUUCAUUAUGUUUGUUGACUUACUGCAAAUGUUUAGAAUUUACCAGCUGUUUACAUUUGCUAGGACAGGGUUACACUGAGUAUGCCAAACAUCAGCAGGGGUCUGGUGCCCUCUUACGUUUUAUUUAAGCAACUUCAGUGACAGCAAACCCUCCCAUCUUGCUCAGAGAUCACUUGUGAGGGCUUCUCACGUUACAAAUCGUGGAGAAGGGAUGUGUCAAUUUAGAUAACUGCUUAAUGUUUCAGAAAGGCUAAUAACCACUUCCAGGCAGUGAACUUAGAGUAAUAAGGAGACCCACAUACGUCCCUAUGAACCUUCCCCGCCAGCUCUUAUUGAUAUAGUUUAGCUUCACUGAACUG